UUUAUGGAGAGUUUGAUCCUGGCUCAGGAUGAACGCUGGCGGCGUGCCUAAUACAUGCAAGUCGAGCGAACGGACGAGAAGCUUGCUUCUCUGAUGUUAGCGGCGGACGGGUGAGUAACACGUGGAUAACCUACCUAUAAGACUGGGAUAACUUCGGGAAACCGGAGCUAAUACCGGAUAAUAUUUUGAACCGCAUGGUUCAAAAGUAAAAGACGGUCUUGCUGUCACUUAUAGAUGGAUCCGCGCUGCAUUAGCUAGUUGGUAAGGUAACGGCUUACCAAGGCAACGAUGCAUAGCCGACCUGAGAGGGUGAUCGGCCACACUGGAACUGAGACACGGUCCAGACUCCUACGGGAGGCAGCAGUAGGGAAUCUUCCGCAAUGGGCGAAAGCCUGACGGAGCAACGCCGCGUGAGUGAUGAAGGUCUUCGGAUCGUAAAACUCUGUUAUUAGGGAAGAACAUAUGUGUAAGUAACUGUGCACAUCUUGACGGUACCUAAUCAGAAAGCCACGGCUAACUACGUGCCAGCAGCCGCGGUAAUACGUAGGUGGCAAGCGUUAUCCGGAAUUAUUGGGCGUAAAGCGCGCGUAGGCGGUUUUUUAAGUCUGAUGUGAAAGCCCACGGCUCAACCGUGGAGGGUCAUUGGAAACUGGAAAACUUGAGUGCAGAAGAGGAAAGUGGAAUUCCAUGUGUAGCGGUGAAAUGCGCAGAGAUAUGGAGGAACACCAGUGGCGAAGGCGACUUUCUGGUCUGUAACUGACGCUGAUGUGCGAAAGCGUGGGGAUCAAACAGGAUUAGAUACCCUGGUAGUCCACGCCGUAAACGAUGAGUGCUAAGUGUUAGGGGGUUUCCGCCCCUUAGUGCUGCAGCUAACGCAUUAAGCACUCCGCCUGGGGAGUACGACCGCAAGGUUGAAACUCAAAGGAAUUGACGGGACCCGCACAAGCGGUGGAGCAUGUGGUUUAAUUCGAAGCAACGCGAAGAACCUUACCAAAUCUUGACAUCCUUUGACAACUCUAGAGAUAGAGCCUUCCCUUCGGGGACAAAGUGACAGGUGGUGCAUGGUUGUCGUCAGCUCGUGUCGUGAGAUGUUGGGUUAAGUCCCGCAACGAGCGCAACCCUUAAGCUUAGUUGCCAUCAUUAAGUUGGGCACUCUAAGUUGACUGCCGGUGACAAACCGGAGGAAGGUGGGGAUGACGUCAAAUCAUCAUGCCCCUUAUGAUUUGGGCUACACACGUGCUACAAUGGACAAUACAAAGGGCAGCGAAACCGCGAGGUCAAGCAAAUCCCAUAAAGUUGUUCUCAGUUCGGAUUGUAGUCUGCAACUCGACUACAUGAAGCUGGAAUCGCUAGUAAUCGUAGAUCAGCAUGCUACGGUGAAUACGUUCCCGGGUCUUGUACACACCGCCCGUCACACCACGAGAGUUUGUAACACCCGAAGCCGGUGGAGUAACCUUUUAGGAGCUAGCCGUCGAAGGUGGGACAAAUGAUUGGGGUGAAGUCGUAACAAGGUAGCCGUAUCGGAAGGUGCGGCUGGAUCACCUCCUUUCU
rnacentral:rRNA from 1 species